CAGGGGACUUGGAUGGUUCUGCCUAACCAGGGGUGGAGGCCAUCCAAGUAGCUCUGG
rnacentral:pre_miRNA from 1 species